rnacentral:rRNA from 1 species
GAUGAACGCUGGCGGCGUGCCUAAUACAUGCAAGUCGAGCGAACGGACGAGAAGCUUGCUUCUCUGAUGUUAGCGGCGGACGGGUGAGUAACACGUGGAUAACCUACCUAUAAGACUGGGAUAACUUCGGGAAACCGGAGCUAAUACCGGAUAAUAUUUUGAACCGCAUGGUUCAAAAGUGAAAGACGGUCUUGCUGUCACUUAUAGAUGGAUCCGCGCUGCAUUAGCUAGUUGGUAAGGUAACGGCUUACCAAGGCAACGAUGCAUAGCCGACCUGAGAGGGUGAUCGGCCACACUGGAACUGAGACACGGUCCAGACUCCUACGGGAGGCAGCAGUAGGGAAUCUUCCGCAAUGGGCGAAAGCCUGACGGAGCAACGCCGCGUGAGUGAUGAAGGUCUUCGGAUCGUAAAACUCUGUUAUUAGGGAAGAACAUAUGUGUAAGUAACUGUGCACAUCUUGACGGUACCUAAUCAGAAAGCCACGGCUAACUACGUGCCAGCAGCCGCGGUAAUACGUAGGUGGCAAGCGUUAUCCGGAAUUAUUGGGCGUAAAGCGCGCGUAGGCGGUUUUUUAAGUCCGAUGUGAAAGCCCACGGCUCAACCGUGGAGGGUCAUUGGAAACUGGAAAACUUGAGUGCAGAAGAGGAAAGUGGAAUUCCAUGUGUAGCGGUGAAAUGCGCAGAGAUAUGGAGGAACACCAGUGGCUAAGGCGACUUUCUGGUCUGUAACUGACGCUGAUGUGCGAAAGCGUGGGGAUCAAACAGG